AAAAACAUGUCCUUUAGUUUUUAUUUAAGGUCUGGCCUGCUCAAUGAUAUUAUUAAAUAGCCGCGGUAUAUUAACCGUGCUAAGGUAGCAUAGUAAUUAGUCUUUUAAUUGAGGUCUGGAAUGAAUGGUUAAACGAGAAAUUUACUUUAUUAGGUUUAUUAUUAUGAAUUUUAUUUUUGGUUAAAAUUCCAAAAUAUUUAAGAGGGACGAUAAGACCCUAUAGAUCUUCAAAAUUUUUUUUUUAUUAAUUUUUUAGUUGUUUUUUCUUGUAAAUUUAAAUUUUUUUGGUUGGGGUGACAGUUAAAAUUUUAAACUUUAAUUUUUUUUUACAAUGAUUUUUGAUUUUUUUGAUCCUUAUUUUUUGAUUAAAAGAAAAAGAUACCUUAGGGAUAACAGCGUUAUUUAUUUGGAGAGUUCUUAUUGAUAAGUAAGUUUGCGACCUCGAUGUUGGAUUAAGGUUUAUUUUUGGGGUAGUUUCUAAAAAAUUAGGUCUGUUCGACCUUUAAAACU
rnacentral:rRNA from 1 species